rnacentral:rRNA from 1 species
AUACGGAGGAUCCGAGCGUUAUCCGGAUUUAUUGGGUUUAAAGGGAGCGUAGGUGGACAGUUAAGUCAGUUGUGAAAGUUUGCGGCUCAACCGUAAAAUUGCAGUUGAUACUGGCUGUCUUGAGUAAAGUAGAGGUGGGCGGAAUUCGUGGGGUAGCGGUGAAAUGCUUAGAUAUCACGAAGAACUCCGAUUGCGAAGGCAGCUCACUGGACUGCAACUGACACUGAUGCUCGAAAGUGUGGGUAUCAAACAGGAUUAGAUACCCUGGUAGUCCACACAGUAAACGAUGAAUACUCGCUGUUUGCGAUACACUGUAAGCGGCCAAGCGAAAGCGUUAAGUAUUCCACCUGGGGAGUACGCCGGCAACGGUGAAACUCAAAGGAAUUGGCGGGG